UCUCAGUUGGUGAACCAGCGGAGGGAUCAUUACCGAGUUUACAACUCCCAAACCCCUGUGAACAUACCAUUUGUUGCCUCGGCGGUGCCUGCUUCGGCAGCCCGCCAGAGGACCCAAACCCUUGAUUUUAUACAGUAUCUUCUGAGUAAAUGAUUAAAUAAAUCAAAACUUUCAACAACGGAUCUCUUGGUUCUG
rnacentral:misc_RNA from 1 species